rnacentral:rRNA from 1 species
AAAAGGCGGCGUAAGCUGUCGCUAAAGGAUGGACCCGCGGUGCAUUAGCUAGUUGGUAAGGUAACGGCUUACCAAGGCGACGAUGCAUAGCCGAGUUGAGAGACUGAUCGGCCACAUUGGGACUGAGACACGGCCCAAACUCCUACGGGAGGCAGCAGUAGGGAAUCUUCCACAAUGGGCGAAAGCCUGAUGGAGCAACGCCGCGUGAGUGAAGAAGGUUUUCGGAUCGUAAAGCUCUGUUGUUGGUGAAGAAGGAUAGAGGUAGUAACUGGCCCCUAUUCGACGGUAAUCAACCAGAAAGUCACGGCUAACUACGUGCCAGCAGCCGCGGUAAUACGUAGGUGGCAAGCGUUGUCCGGACUUAUUGGGCGUAAAGCGAGCGCAGGCGGAAAGAUAAGUCUGAUGUGAAAGCCCCCGGCUUAACCGAGGAAUUGCAUCGGAAACUGUGUUUCUUGAGUGCAGAAGAGGAGAGUGGAACUCCAUGUGUAGCGGUGGAAUGCGUAGAUAUAUGGAAGAACACCAGUGGCGAAGGCGGCUCUCUGGUCUGUAACUGACGCUGAGGCUCGAAAGCAUGGGUAGCGAACAGGAUUAGAUACCCUGGUAGUCCAUGCCGUAAACGAUGAGUGCUAAGUGUUGGGAGGUUUCCGCCUCUCA